rnacentral:rRNA from 1 species
UAGCUUCAGAUAACGAGAGACCGUACCCCAAACCGACACAGGUGGUCAGGUAGAGAAUACCAAGGCGCUUGAGAGAACUCUGGUGAAGGAACUAGGCAAAAUAGCACCGUAACUUCGGGAGAAGGUGCGCUGCUGACGGUGAAGGCCUUGCGCCGUAAGCUGUUGGCAGCCGAAGUAACCAGGCCGCUGCGACUGUUUAUUAAAAACACAGCACUCUGCAAACACGAAAGUGGACGUAUAGGGUGUGACGCCUGCCCGGUGCCGGAAGGUUAAUUGAUGGGGUCAGCCGCAAGGCGAAGCUCUUGAUCGAAGCCCCGGUAAACGGCGGCCGUAACUAUAACGGUCCUAAGGUAGCGAAAUUCCUUGUCGGGUAAGUUCCGACCUGCACGAAUGGCGUAACGAUGGCGGCGCUGUCUCCACCAGAGACUCAGUGAAAUCGAAAUCGCGGUGAAGAUGCCGUGUACCCGUGGCUAGACGGAAAGACCCCGUGAACCUUUACUGUAGCUUCACACUGGACUUUGACAUGAUCUGUGUAGGAUAGCUGGGAGGCUUUGAAGUGGUGACGCUAGUUGCCAUGGAGCCGUCCUUGAAAUACAGCCUGGUCCUGUCGGGGUUCUAACGUCGACCUGUUAUCCAGGUUACGGACAGUGUGUGGUGGGCAGUUUGACUGGGGCGGUCUCCUCCCAAAGAGUAACGGAGGAGCACGAAGGUGCGCUAAUCACGGUCGGAAAUCGUGAGGUUAGUGUAAAGGCACAAGCGCGCUUGACUGCGAGACAGACAAGUCGAACAGGUACGAAAGUAGGUCUUAGUGAUCCGGUGGUUCUGUAUGGAAGGGCCAUCGCUCAACGGAUAAAGGGUACUCCGGGGAUAACAGGCUGAUACCGCCCAAGAGUUCAUAUCGACGGCGGUGUUUGGCACCUCGAUGUCGGCUCAUCGCAUCCUGGGGCUGAAGCCGGUCCCAAGGGUAUGGCUGUUCGCCAUUUAAAGUGGUACGCGAGCUGGGUUUAGAACGUCGUGAGACAGUUCGGUCCCUAUCUGCCAUGGGCGUUGGAGAUUUGAGAAGAGUUGCUCCUAGUACGAGAGGACCGGAGUGAACGAACCUCUGGUGUACCGGUUGUCACGCCAGUGGCAUUGCCGGGUAGCUAAGUUCGGACGGGAUAACCGCUGAAAGCAUCUAAGCGGGAAGCCUCCUUCAAGAUGAGAUCUCCCUGGAGCUUUAAGCUCCCUGAAGGGCCGUCGAAGACUACGACGUUGAUAGGCGAGGUGUGGAAGCGUUGUGAGACGUUGAGCUGACUCGUACUAAUUGCCCGUGCGGCUUGACC